AAUCCAUGUAUCGAAUAUUUCCAAAUUAAAUCCUUAAAUCGUUCCCAAGCUUUAUAUAGCUUUUCAUCCUCCAAUUGUUGAAAAGUCUUAAUGUUGUUUCUAAGCUU
rfam:Gossypium arboreum cultivar AKA8401 contig_46919_3, whole genome shotgun sequence.